GACGAACGCUAGCGGCGUGCUUAACACAUGCAAGUCGAACGGAAAGGCCCUGCUUGCAGGGUGCUCGAGUGGCGAACGGGUGAGUAACACGUGGGUGAUCUGCCCCUUACUUUGGGAUAAGCCCGGGAAACUGGGUCUAAUACUGGAUAGGACCAUGCUGUCGGUGGUGUGGUGGAGAGAGUAGUUUCGGUAAGGGAUGAGCGCGCGGCCUAUCAGCUUGUUGGUGGGGGAAUGGCCUACCAAGGCGUCGACGGGUAGCCGGCCUGAGAGGGUGGACGGCCACAUUGGGACUGCGAUACGGCCCAGACUCCGACGGGAGGCAGCAGUGGGGAAUAGUGCACAAUGGGCGCAAGCCUGAUGCAGCGACGCCGCGUGGGGGAUGACGGCCUUCGGGUUGUAAACUCCUUUCAGCCAUGACGAAGCCCUUGUGGUGACGGUAGUGGUAGAAGAAGCACCGGCUAACUACGUG
rnacentral:rRNA from 1 species